rnacentral:rRNA from 1 species
GACGAACGCUGGCGGCGUGCUUAACACAUGCAAGUCGAACGGAAAGGCCCUGCUUUUGUGGGUUGCUCGAUUGGCGAACGGGUGAGUAACACGUGAGUAACCUGCCCUUGACUUUGGGAUAACUUCAGGAAACUGGGGCUAAUACCGGAUAUGAUCUCCUGCUGCAUGGUGGGGGUUGGAAAGUUUCGGCGGUUGUGGAUGGACUCGCGGCUUAUCAGCUUGUUGGUGGGGUAGUGGCUUACCAAGGCUUUGACGGGUAGCCGGCCUGAGAGGGUGACCGGCAACAUUGGGACUGAGAUACGGCCCAGACUCCUACGGGAGGCAGCAGUGGGGAAUAUUGCACAAUGGGCGGAAGCCUGAUGCAGAAACGCCGCGUGCGGGAUGACGGCCUUCGGGUUGUAAACCGCUUUCGCCGGUGACGAAGCGUGAGUGACGGUAAUGGGUAAAGAAGCACCGGCUAACUACGUG